ACUUGUUAGUUGCCAUCAUUCAGUUGGGCGACUCUAGCGAGACUGCCGGUAAUAAACCGGAGGAAGGUGGGGAUGACGUCAAAUCAUCAUGCCCCUUAUGACCUGGGCUACACACGUGCUACAAUGGUUGGUACAACGAGUUGCGAGUCGGUGACGGCGAGCUAAUCUCUUAAAGCCAAUCUCAGUUCGGAUUGUAGGCUGCAACUCGCCUACAUGAAGUCGGAAUCGCUAGUAAUCGCGGAUCAGCACGCCGCGGUGAAUACGUUCCCGGGCCUU
rnacentral:rRNA from 1 species